rnacentral:rRNA from 1 species
CAGUAGCCGCGGUAAGACAGAGGAUGCAAGCGUUAUCCGGAAUGAUUGGGCGUAAAGCGUCUGUAGGUGGCUUCUCAAGUCCGCCGUCAAAUCCCAGGGCUCAACCCUGGACAGGCAGUAGAAACUACCAAGCUGGAGUACGAUAGGGGAGAGGGAAUUUCCGGUGGAGCGGUGAAAUGCAUUGAGAUUGGAAAGAACACCAACGGCGAAAGCACUCUGUUGGGCCGACACUGACACUGAGAGACGAAAGCUAAGGGAGAAAAUGGGAUUAGAUACCCCCGUAGUCCCUGUCUCUUAUACA